rfam:Schistosoma mansoni strain Puerto Rico chromosome 7, complete genome
AUCCAGCUAACGAGUCCCAAAUAGGAUGAAACGCACGUCCUGGAU